ACGAACGCUGGCGGCGUGCCUAAUACAUGCCAGUUGAGCGCUGAAGGUUGGUACUUGUACCAACUGGAUGAGCAGCGAACGGGUGAGUAACGCGUGGGGAAUCUGCCUUUGAGCGGGGGACAACAUUUGGAAACGAAUGCUAAUACCGCAUAAAAACUUUAAACACAAGUUUUAAGUUUGAAAGAUGCAAUUGCAUCACUCAAAGAUGAUCCCGCGUUGAAUUAGCUAGUUGGUGAGGUAAAGGCUCACCAAGGCGAUGAUACAUAGCCGACCUGAGAGGGUGAUCGGCCACAUUGGGACUGAGACACGGCCCAAACUCCUACGGGAGGCAGCAGUAGGGAAUCUUCGGCAAUGGACGAAAGUCUGACCGAGCAACGCCGCGGGAGUGAAGAAGGGUUUCGGAUCGUAAAACUCUGUUGGUAGAGAAGAACGUUGGUGAGAGUGGAAAGCUCAUCAAGUGACGGUAACUACCCAGAAAGGGACGGCUAACUACGUG
rnacentral:rRNA from 1 species